CUACUGACCCAGAGUCAGAUGAGGCCCUUUAUCUACUGACCCAGAGUCAGAUGAGGCCCUUUAUCUACUGACCCAGAGUCAGAUGAGGCCCUUUAUCUACUGACCCAGAGUCAGAUGAGGCCCUUUAUCUACUGACCCAGAGUCAGAUGAGGCCCUUUAUCUACUGACCCAGAGUCAGAUGAGGUCCUUUAUCUACUGACCCAGAGUCAGAUGAGGUCCUUUAUCUACUGACCCAGAGUCAGAUGAGGUCCUUUAUCUACUGACCCAGAGUCAGAUGAGGCCCUUUAUCUACUGACCCAGAGUCAGAUGAGGCCCUUUAUCUACUGACCCAGAGUCAGAUGAGGUCCUUUAUCUACUGACCCAGAGUCAGAUGAGGUCCUUUAUCUACUGACCCAGAGUCAGAUGAGGCCCUUUAUCUACUGACCCAGAGUC